rnacentral:rRNA from 1 species
CCUACGGGUGGCAGCAGUGAGGAAUAUUGGUCAAUGGACGAGAGUCUGAACCAGCCAAGUAGCGUGAAGGAUGACUGCCCUACGGGUUGUAAACUUCUUUUAUAUGGGAAUAAAAUGGUCCACGUGUGGCUUUUUGUAUGUACCUUAUGAAUAAGGAUCGGCUAACUCCGUGCCAGCAGCCGCGGUAAUACGGAGGAUCCGAGCGUUAUCCGGAUUUAUUGGGUUUAAAGGGAGCGUAGGUGGGUUGUUAAGUCAGUUGUGAAAGUUUGCGGCUCAACCGUAAAAUUGCAGUUGAAACUGGCAGUCUUGAGUACAGUAGAGGUGGGCGGAAUUCGUGGUGUAGCGGUGAAAUGCUUAGAUAUCACGAAGAACUCCGAUGGCGAAGGCAGCUCACUGGACUGCAACUGACACUGAGGCUCGAAAGUGUGGGUAUCAAACAGGAUUAGAUACCCCUGUAGUC